GGUCAUGAGCGCCAGCGCCAAGCCCCGGCUCGCUGGCCAGCAACCCUCCUUCCGCGGCGGGGUGCUCCGGGUGACGACCGGGCCGUGCCCGUCCGGGCGCGGCAAGCGCGGACC
rnacentral:ncRNA from 2 species